rnacentral:rRNA from 1 species
UACGUAGGGGGCAAGCGUUGUCCGGAAUCACUGGGUUUAAAGGGUGCGUAGGUGGGUCUGUAAGUCCGUGGUGAAAUCUCCAAGCUUAACUUGGAAACUGCCGUGGAUACUAUAGAUCUUGAAUAUUGUGGAGGUAAGCGGAAUAUGUCAUGUAGCGGUGAAAUGCUUAGAUAUGACAUAGAACACCGAUAGCGAAGGCAGCUUGCUACACAAUCAUUGACACUGAGGCACGAAAGCGUGGGGAUCAAACAGG